rnacentral:sRNA from 1 species
GGUCCAAAGGUAGUGAAUUAUCUCGAUUGUUCAGUCAGUUACAGAACAAACUCCCUGUUCUACUCUUUUCUCCCUUCUCACUACUAGUCUUAAAAAAUAAA